AUACACACCCAAUUAAUUAAUCCAGAAUAGCUUAAACAUAAAAUAGUUAACUUAACAUUAGGUGCGAGAUGUUUACAUUACAAUAAUGAUUUUCAGAUAACAAUGAGUUUUAAAAGUAUGGUCAUAAUGUUUUGUGCAAUUUUUCAACAGUACACCAGAGACGCGCCACAGACAGGCCACAGCCAACUGAUGAAGCUGCAGGGAAUGCAGGUUCUUCUUCUGCAAGCCGCCCUCCUCUAAGGCGGCCAUCACAGGGCUCUGUGACUUUAACUAGGAGGCCCACUAAGACGCGGCGUGUGGAGUCGGAAUCUGCGCCUCCUUCUUCACCACCCAGGCGGCGCAUCUCGGCAGUCUUGCCCCAGCCACCACAGGCAAUUUUGGCUAGUCCCCAAAGUGAUGAGCCACGAUCACCUCAGCUGUCUGAACCAACCUUCAUGGGAGACGAUGACCAGCAGGAACCAGACCAACAGGCAACCUAUACACUGCAACUUACGGCCGUUGAUCCUACCCAGCCAACCCAGCCGCAGGAUAUGCCCCAAGCCUCCUUAAGUCCACAAUUGAUACCAACUCCACCCCAGCAACAAAUGUCCGCUGACUUUUGGUCCAGUUGGGCAACACAACAGGCCCAAAACACUGCCUGCCUGAACACACACACACAACACCUUGCCAGUCUGCCCCAUCAUCUUCCGCGCAUUAGUCGGAACUCGGGCAGACUGAUUGUUCAGGUAGGCAGAAUUGCGACAUCGAUGGAGCAAAUCAGGGCGGACAACACGCAAAUGCUGGCAAAUUUGACGCACAUCAUCGAUGAGCAACAGCGGCAUCAACAAGCCCUGAUACAAGUGAUCCAACACA